ensembl:lncRNA
UCUUAUUGUAACCUACUUCAAUCAGGUUUAUAUUACUUAGAACAAGGGAAUGCUGUUUUAAGUGCUUCACACACACACACUCACUCACACACACACACACACUCACUCACUCACUCACACACACACACACACUCACUCACUCACUCACACACACACACACACUCACUCACUCACUCACACACACACACACACUCACUCACUCACUCACACACACACACACACUCACUCACUCACUCACACACACACACACACUCACUCACUCACUCACACACACACACACACUCACUCACUCACUCACACACACACACACACUCACUCACUCACUCACACACACACACACACUCACUCACUCACUCACACACACACACACACUCACUCACUCACUCACACACACACACACACUCACUCACUCACUCACACACACACACACACUCACUCACUCACUCACACACACACACACACUCACUCACUCACUCACACACACACACACACUCACUCACUCACUCACACACACACACACACUCACUCACUCACUCACACACACACACACACUCACUCACUCACUCACACACACACACACACUCACUCACUCACUCACACACACACACACACUCACUCACUCACUCACACACACACACACACUCACUCACUCACUCACACACACACACACACUCACUCACUCACUCACACACACACACACACUCACUCACUCACUCACACACACACACACACUCACUCACUCACUCACACACACACACACACUCACUCACUCACUCACACACACACACACACUCACUCACUCACUCACACACACACACACACUCACUCACUCACUCACACACACACACACACUCACUCACUCACUCACACACACACACACACUCACUCACUCACUCACACACACACACACACUCACUCACUCACUCACACACACACACACACUCACUCACUCACUCACACACACACACACACUCACUCACUCACUCACACACACACACACACUCACUCACUCACUCACACACACACACACACUCACUCACUCACUCACACACACACACACACUCACUCACUCACUCACACACACACACACACUCACUCACUCACUCACACACACACACACACUCACUCACUCACUCACACACACACACACACUCACUCACUCACUCACACACACACACACACUCACUCACUCACUCACACACACACACACACUCACUCACUCACUCACACACACACACACACUCACUCACUCACUCACACACACACACACACUCACUCACUCACUCACACACACACACACACUCACUCACUCACUCACACACACACACACACUCACACUCACUCACACACACUCACACACUCAGACACACUCAUACACCCACACACUCACACACGCUCACACUCACACACACUCACACUCUAGUUUUGUUAUUGUAACCUUCUUCAGAACAAGGGAAUGCUGUUUUAGCUGUUUUACACAAAGUGCUUUACAUUGAUGCAACAUACAACUUCCAAUCAAGCUCAGGAUGAACAGAUUUGAAACAUGCACACCUGCUCCAUGCUGAUUGGUGAAUUUUGCUUCAAUGAAAAACUGUGAUUUGGGGCAG